CUUGGUCAUUUAGAGGAAGUAAAAGUCGUAACAAGGUCUCCGUUGGUGAACCAGCGGAGGGAUCAUUACCGAGUUUACAACUCCCAAACCCAAUGUGAACCAUACCAAACUGUUGCCUCGGCGGGGUCACGCCCCGGGUGCGUCGCAGCCCCGGAACCAGGCGCCCGCCGGAGGGACCAACCAAACUCUUUACUGUAGUCCCCUCGCGGACGUUAUUUCUUACAGCUCUGAGCAAAAAUUCAAAUGAAUCAAAACUUUCAACAACGGAUCUCUUGGUUCUGGCAUCGAUGAAGAACGCAGCGAAAUGCGAUAAGUAAUGUGAAUUGCAGAAUUCAGUGAAUCAUCGAAUCUUUGAACGCACAUUGCGCCCGCCAGUAUUCUGGCGGGCAUGCCUGUCCGAGCGUCAUUUCAACCCUCGAACCCCUCCGGGGGGUCGGCGUUGGGGAUCGGGAACCCCUAAGACGGGAUCCCGGCCCCGAAAUACAGUGGCGGUCUCGCCGCAGCCUCUCCUGCGCAGUAGUUUGCACAACUCGCACCGGGAGCGCGGCGCGUCCACGUCCGUAAAACACCCAACUUCUGAAAUGUUGACCUCGGAUCAGGUAGGAAUACCCGCUGAACUUAAGCAUAUCAAUAAGCGGAGGA
rnacentral:rRNA from 1 species